GAGGCCUACCAUGGUGGUAACGGGUAACGGGGUGUUAGGGCACGACACCGGAGAGGGAGCCUGAGAAACGGCUACCACAUCCAAGGAUGGCAGCAGGCGCGCAAAUUACCCAAUCCCGACACGGGGAGGUAGUGACAAUAAAUAACAAUACGGGGUUCUUUAGGAUCUCGUAAUUGGAAUGAGUACAAUUUAAAUCUCUUAACGAGGAACAAUUGGAGGGCAAGUCUGGUGCCAGCAGCCGCGGUAAUUCCAGCUCCAAUAGCGUAUAUUAAAGUUGUUGCAGUUAAAAAGCUCGUAGUUGAAUUUCGGGGUUAGUAGGUUGGUCAUGCCUCUGGUAUGUACUGGUCUCACUGAUUCCUCCUUCCUUAUGAACCGUAAUGCCAUUAAUUUGGUGUUGCGGGGAAUUUGGACUGUUACUUUGAAAAAAUUAGAGUGUUUAAAGCAAGCUAACGCUUGAAUACAUUAGCAUGGAAUAAUGAAAUAGGACGUUCGAUCUUAUUUUGUUGGUUUCUAGGAUUGACGUAAUGAUUAAUAGGGAUAGUUGGGGGCAUUAGUAUUCAAUUGUCAGAGGUGAAAUUCUUGGAUUUAUUGAAGACUAACUACUGCGAAAGCAUUUGCCAAGGAUGUUCUCAUUAAUCAAGAACGAAAGUUAGGGGAUCGAAGACGAUCAGAUACCGUCGUAGUCUUAACCAUAAACUAUGCCGACUAGGGAUCGGAUG
rnacentral:rRNA from 1 species